GUAUAUUAAUUGAAAUUUAACGGAUUUGGCGGCAAAACAGCCUUUUAGAGGAACCUGCCCUUUAAUCGAUGGUCCACGAGUUACCAUACUUCUUUUAGUUGUCAGUUUGUAUACCGCUGUUGUCAGUUAGUUUUUUUAGAAAUCUAUCUAUAACAUAAAAGAUGUUAACUUCAAGUAAAGGUGCAGCUUAUAAGGAAGGAUGAGGUGGGUUACAUUUGGAAAGAACAAAUAAUUACGGAUGAAAAAAUGAAAAAGUUUUUGAAGGUGGAUUUAAAAGUAAGAUUUAAGAAGAUCUGAUGUUAGGCAAUGUUUUGUGUACAAACCGCCCGUC
rnacentral:rRNA from 1 species